rnacentral:rRNA from 1 species
AUGCCUGAACUCAUUGUAUCUGACAGGGAUCCUGUUUUUACCAGCAACUUCUGGCAGACUCUUAUUAACAGAACUGACACUCAUUUGAAUAUGAGCUCGGCUUAUCAUCCGGCUACUGAUGGACAAACUGAGCGAGUUAACCAGCAGGUGGAGUGCUAUUUGCGGAGUUUCAUCAGUUCUCACCCUACUAAAUGGAGCAAAUGGCUGUCGCUCUGUGAGUUUUGGUACAAUACCAAUUGGCAUUCUGCUGUGGGGAAAUCACCAUUUGAAGUUUUGUAUGGACAACCUCCCAGGUAUUUUGGUAUUUCUCCAUCAGACACAAUUCCUCCUUUGGACAUUCAACAAUGGUUGCAAGAUCGACAGGUUGUAGUUGAGUCUGUCAGACAACACUUGCUACGAGCUCAACAGAGAAUGAAGCAAUUGGCAGAUAAACACAAAACUGAGAGAACUUUUGAUGUGGGCGAGCUGGUUUUCCUUAAGUUGCAGCCUUAUGUCCAGUCUUCAGUGGUGCACCGAGCAAAUCAUAAGUUAGCUUACAAAUACUAUGGUCCUUACAAGAUAGUGGGCAGAAUUGGAGAAGUGGCUUACAAGCUAGAACUUCCGGAGGGCAGCAGGAUACACCCAGUUUUUCAUAUCUCACAGCUGAAGAAAGUGGUUGCACCGACCUGUCCUAUAUCCAGCACAUUACCCUCUGUU